UACGGAGGAUGCGAGCGUUAUCCGGAUUUAUUGGGUUUAAAGGGUGCGUAGGCGGCCUGCCAGGUCAGCGGUAAAAUUGCGGGGCUCAACCCCGUACAGCCGUUGAAACUGCCGGGCUCGAGUGGGCGAGAAGUAUGCGGAAUGCGUGGUGUAGCGGUGAAAUGCAUAGAUAUCACGCAGAACCCCGAUUGCGAAGGCAGCAUACCGGCGCCCUACUGACGCUGAGGCACGAAAGUGCGGGGAUCAAACAGG
rnacentral:rRNA from 1 species